AUGCUCAGCUUCCUUUUGCCAACAGAUCUGAGCCCUGGUCUGGGUGGCGGUAAGGGAGGUGGAGUGACACCAAAGCUGGCCUCUCAGUGCUUCAUAGCACAUCCCUUAGUUUCAAACAGGU
rnacentral:snoRNA from 1 species